UUACAAGUGCUUCUACUUGCCUCGACAGC
rnacentral:sRNA from 1 species